GGGAUGAGACGGGAGCAUCGCUCGGAGCGCUGUGCGAACCCAACCCAGGGGCUGCUCCCGGUGCUGCGCGGAGCCCGAGGUGCUCAGAUCGCAGGAUAUACUAAAGAUACACUGGGGUUGAGGGGAAUCCUAAAUCUGAGUCUCAAGUCCGUAGGUUUCCUGCAGGUGGGGUGAAGUUUUGUGUGGAUGAAAGUGGGAGUUUUUCAGGGAGCCAGCUGGAAGUGCAGAAGGGAUGGAAAGGUUUUGCAGGAAGUCCCUUGGCAGAACGUGAAGUAGCAGCCCCCAGUAGCUGUGUGCCACUUGCUGGUGCAGAUGCUCCAGUAACCACUCCAGUGACAGAAAAUACAGACUCACCAGUCUGGGACUUCCAGCAGCAAGCAAGAUUAUCCAAAGGGCUUCUCCUGGAUCCAGAACAAACCUUAGUCUUCAAAGUGUGGCAUAAAGCAGGUGAAGGUCAGCUUUCCAGCAUGUCCCACUAAUUCUGCAAACUUGUCCAAGCAGAUGUUGAAUUCCUUGUCGAAGGAAGUCAGUGUUCCCACUCUGGAGUGCACAUCCAUACCAAGCCAUGAGGAGUGUGAGAGUGACCCUCAGGGCUCGAUGAGCAGAGAAGUGGAUCCCAAAGGCUGCCAUCUUCUGGAAAAAUCCAGUCAGUUGGUGUCUCAGAGCACUGAACCCAUCAAGAGAAGUGUAGAGAUCCAUGCAGGCUCUGAGGAGCUGCUGCCAUUCCCAGGAGACAGGGCUUUGACCAGUGGAAAAACCGCUGAGAGAGAGGAGGAGGAAAAUGCUGAGGUUGUAAAUGGAGAUCAUCAAAGCAAAGAAGGAAGUGGUUCUGAUGAGAACUGUGUUGGGAGUGUAUCAGCACAAGCUGGCUCAGAAAGAAACUGUGAGAGCUUCCCUGAUGACAGCAGUGAAGACCCAGUGGAAGGCUCAGAUAGCUCCAUCAAACCAAAAAUCCCUUUAUCUGAUCCUGUUGUUGUUCCCAACUUCUUCCUUCCACCCCAGGAGAUGGAAGCCUCCAUGAGACUGCUCAGCACUUCCUCUCAUCCCUCUGCAUCUCCAGAGGGCCCCUCUGCCACCAUGGUGGGUCUGAAGCCCCCCGAGGUGCCCCCGACGGCCACCAUGAAGUUCAUCAGCGCGGGGAUGGCCGGCUGCAUCACUGACCUGUGCACCUUUCCCCUGGACACCGCCAAAGUGCGGCUGCAGGCCGCUCACCUCAGGGUCCCUGCAGGGCUGGGGGUCCCUGCAGGGCCAGGGGUCCCGACACCCGCCCUCUCCAGGCACAGGCGUGGGCACGCGGCUCCUGGCUGGCUGCACCACGGGGGCUGUGGCCGUGGCCUGUGCGCAGCCCACCGACGUGGUCAAGGUGCGGUUCCAGGCCAGCGCGGCCCUGUCGGACAGCGCGCCCCGCUACAGCAGCGCUGGGGACGCCUACCGCACCAUCGCCAGGGAGGAGGGGAUCCGCGGGCUCUGGAGAGGGACGCCGCCCAACAUCGCCCGCAAUGCCGUCAUCAACUGCGGGGAGCUCGUCACCUACGACCUCAUCAAGGACGCGCUGCUGCGGGCACAGCUCAUGGCAGACAACGUCCCGUGCCACUUCGUGGCCGCCUUUGGCGCCGGGUUCUGUGCCACAGUGGUGGCAUCGCCGGUGGACGUGGUGAAGACGCGGUACAUGAACACCAGCCCCGGGCAGUACAGCAACGUCCUGAGCUGCCUCCUGGCCCUGCUCACGCAGGAUGGCCCCGCCGGCCUCUACAAGGGGGAGAUGAACACAAACUCACAGCCAUUCAGGCCUGGCAGUUCCCUGCAGCGAGAGUUCACACGGGAGACAGCCUUCUGAAAAGGGAAAUGACCUUGGCAGAAGAGCAGCUGUGAAGGGAAGCAGAACAAAAACACAGGACAGGAAAAAGCAUCACACUCCUCCCAUCUUUGCCAAAAGCUGUGGUGUUUGAGCAGCCAAAGCCAGGAGGCUUCAGCACCAGGGCUCUGCGCUGUGGCUCCUGGUCCUGUCUGGCUGUGGGGGAGAAGAACACCAACUCACAGCAAUUCAGGCCUGACAGUCCCCUGCAGUGAGAGGUCAACACACAUCCACAGAGGCAAGUCCAGCAUCUGAAAGAAAACAAACCAAAGGAUAAGGUGAUUUCUUGUGCUUCCAAGUUAUUUCAAGUUCUUAAAGCCCAAGCAACAUUUGCUCUCGAUUUUGCUUGGCUGAAUCAUGCGCAGUGGGCACAGGUCAAGGCAUUCAUGUAGCUGUAAGCCCAGGGUAAUUUAGAGGCGACACAAGAAGUGUUUGUGUAGGAACAUGUGAGGGGAUGUCAAGGGGAGUGAGGUCUUCCUGGCUCCCUUAAGAGGCUUUUUACUAUCAGCAAAAGAGCAAAUUGUGUCUUGAUGUGCAGAGGCGUUCCUUUAGAGGCACUGCUGUUAUGGGAUGAACAUCAUUAAGUUCAAGGGUAAUGGUAAUAGGAUGAGGCAAAGAACUGGGAAAACUGGCAGAAAUGGAAUAUAUCAGGCCCCACAAUGGCAUGCAAACAAAAGACACAAGAGAAAUCCUGCCUAGUUUUUUAUCUUGUCUGGCCUUGCUUUCUUUGCCAAGUUACAAGGUCUCUGUACCUAAUUGUGGGUCAAGGUCUUCCCCUUCCCCAGGAAAGAACUGGGCUGUGCAGUCCUUGGGUCACAGCACUUCCGUAUUUGCCUCUUGUUGUUUGACCCUUCCCACCCUUGAAUAUCUGAGGGCAGGGAGCUCCACUUUGUGUCUGUGCCAAAAAAAACCUUGGGAGUGAUAAAAUAUGAUCAAUUCAACAGGAAAAACACCACAACAAAUUCAAAAUACCCCAAUCCCCCCGCAAAAACCAAAACAAAAACCAUCCAAACCAGCUGAAUUUCAUGCAUGAUCGGAUAAAGAAUGCUUGGAUGCAGCAUCAAAACCUUGAUGUCAACCAAUUAAUGCAGUUCCUUAGCUAAGAAUUGCAUUUGGAGAAAGUAGAGGGUGAACAGCGUUUGUAAGACAUUGAGAAGUUUAAAUGGUUCUUAGAAAAAGCAAGCAGAUAAAUACCACUGAUGCCUCAAUAAAAUCAGCAAUUUUAAGGUGUAAAUAAGGCCUGAAUAAGGUUGGCAAUUAUAAGGUAUAACACAAUAAUAUAAAAUAAAGUAUUAACAAACCCCUUUGCCUUACUGCAUACAAUUCAGCUAACUUCUUUGCAUGUAUUAUAAAAGAAAAUAAAAAUUGUUUUAACUCUGGUGAUGUGAAGUGUUAAAACACUUCAAAACCAUGCUUUGUGUAUGAAAAUGGUAAUUCCAGUCCUGUCCUAAACAAUGGGAUUGAAAACCAUCUCAGAAAAUCGGUUUUUGUGGUAUUGCCAGGCCCUCUUUGCAGACCAACAAUAUGUUUAUAUUCUAGAGUUAGGACAAGAUUGAGAUAAGAGCCCAUUUUCAGUUAUUUCUUCUAACAGAAGUGAUAGGUUUUGCAAUUUGCCAGUUGCUGAAAUGCUUUGUAUGAAGAUCAAAAAGAAAUGUUUCCUUUGUGUGAGAGCACAAAUAUUUCUGUGUAAUAUUUGGGGCUUUUUUCUUAUGUCAAAUGAUAUUUUUUUAAAAUUGCAUUUCUAGAACUCUCUUCUGAAUGAACCAAUAUCUGUUGUAUUUUUUUAAUGUUUCUAAAAUGCAAGACAAUCCAGCUGUUAUGCUGGCUCUGUGUUUGCCCUCUGUUUAUGCAGUGUGGAGGACCAUCCAUCAUCUGCCCUGGACUUCAGAAUGAUGACAUCUGGACUUCAUCCUCACAAUGCUGUAGCACUGACACUUCAAACAAACUCAGAAAAUGAUAAAAAAAAAAGGGCACAACUUACAACCAUUCCACAAGCAUAAUAUCUGUGUGCAAACAAAAGGCUAAAUUUGGCUGGAAAUAAUUAAAGUUUUGGGGUUUCUUUUUUUUGGUCUUGCUUUGGGUUUUUCCCCCCCUCUUCCUGGCUUUAACUUCUUGAACUUUUAAGUUAAGGUAGCUUGAAGGCAUGAAAUUACAGAUGGUGCUCACUCAUCCUAAAAUUGAAAACUUCCUCUUUCCAAAGGUAAUUGUUUCCAGUUGAUACUUGCCACUUGAAGGAGGUAAGUCAAUCAUUUCUAGAAGGAAAACAGCUCUUAUAUUCCCGAGAAGGAAAACUCCCUGAAAAGAUCUGUGUCCUCAGAAAAGGGACUGCAUCUUCUUUCCUUCAUCUAUAAUCUAAUUUCAGGUGUCAAAUCCACACACAGAAACUUUGGCAGAAACAGGUAAAAGUAGCAAGAGUUCCUUGAUAUUUAUAGACUAUGAAUGCAAAAACAUAACUGGGAAAAGCAGAUAAUAUAUUUGAAAAUAUUCAGUAUUUCAAAACUUACUUAACAAAGGCUGGCCUUGGAGAUCUAGAGCCUGUAGCCUUUCUGAAAUGUGGAGUUUCAACAGCAGAUCAUGGAACAACUGCAGGAGUAUGCAAAGACAGUAGGCCAUUUACAGUGUGCUUGGUUAUGUUUCUGACCCACAUUGAAAAGAAAUCCUGGAUAACACUAUCUAUUUAAAUAAACAUCGUUACAGUCAGAAAUAUCAAUUAGGUUCUUUCAAUGACUUCUGAUAAGCUUCUUGAGGGCAUGCUGGCUGGUAAGGAUGUUCUCAUUAUUUAGCAGCUGCAGACUGGGAGUAGGAAUCUUUGGUUUUUGUCUUUACUGCUCAGCACAGAUGCAAGCCCAGACCUUAGAGGGAAAUGAACUGUGCCUCUUCUCACUGGGUUUAAUAAAUAUAUGCAGACAGUAAAGGCCUGCCAAGGUUUAGGAAUCCUGCAUUUAUUUCAGGUCUGAAGAAUAUCUCCUUCAGGGUUACAAAUUCCUUUCCCUCUGAACAUUCUCCUUCACAGUUUCCUCUCACUGCCUUUUUCUCCCAACUCUUCUCUCCUUAUCCCAGGCUUGUAUUGUCCCUGUUUGCCCUCUUGGAAAAAAACAAACAAAUAACUGACAGCUUCAAUUUGUGUCUUUCAAACACAAGUUUGACAGCUUUUAUUUGUGACUUUGAGUUGUUUCUCAGCUGUUUCUGUCUUCUGACAAGCAGAAAAACUGCCCUGAGUGCAUACUUGCAAGUGAUACAAGCAGUUUUGCAUGCAAGUUCUCAGAAAAUUUUCUGUGGCUGAGAUUUGAAUACCAAGACUUAAAUCUGAUGCUUAAUUUGAAUCAUCCCAGUGAGCUGGACUCAAUCAAUAGCUGCCUUUGCUUUAUUCAGGAACAAACACACUCCAGGUUCUUCCUGUUCCUGUAAAAACAAGGUUAUUUCCUCCUGUCUGUUUGCACCUCGAUUUACUUCAGCUGAAUCUGAUAAGGGAUUUUAGGACAUGUGAAAUUAGCAGCAGCUACCUAAAAUUUGUAUUCUCUCAGGGAAACCAGGUCCUUGUAUGUCCCGUUAAUGACUCAAUUUUUUUUCAAGGCAAGCAAGGAGGAAUGAGACCCAAAGUACAUCUUUGCAAAAUUAUUAUAAAAUGUUCAAGGGAAGGCAUAAGAGCUGUAAUUCUAAUAAAAGAGAGGGGGGAAAGGGGAAAAAAAGGAAAUAAUAGAAAAGGGACUACAGAACCUGCUCCAGUAACGGGAGAGAAGGACUUCACACACUAAACCUCCAGGUUCUGUGAACCUGGGGUUCCUGAGGUAUUACAGGAUCUGUCUCAAUGCCUGAUUUAAUAAAACUCAACUGAAAAACUC